CCGGCGACCGGCGCACGGGUGAGUAACACGUAUGCAACCUGGCCGUGACAGAUGGAUAACCGGGAGAAAUCCCGCCUAAUACAGCAUGACGCCGGGAAGGGACAUCCCUUUCCGGCCAAAAGGGGGCGACUCCGGUCACGGAUGGGCAUGCGGCGCAUUAGGUAGUUGGUGGGGCAACGGCCCACCAAGCCGACGAUGCGUAGGGGUUCUGAGAGGAAGGUCCCCCACAUUGGAACUGAGACACGGUCCAAACUCCUACGGGAGGCAGCAG
rnacentral:rRNA from 1 species